UCUCUCCCUUGCUCUCUCUCUCUCUCUCUCUCUCUCUCUCCCUCGACCCCCACCCCCUCACUUACUGGAAGACCUUAAAGUUUUAUUGGUCCCAUUAUCAACUAUCCUUUCAUAUUCUGUGCAGUUUAUCCUCACGAGGGUCGCGGAGAUAAGUACGGUGGCUGAGAGAGGUCACAACAAUUGCAAACGCAACAACAAAUGUAAACGCCACAACACGACAACAUACAGCCACUACGGGAUGACAUUAACCUACAACGUAAGUGACCGGGAGUUCAGGUUACUUGGGACUACGAUUGCAGACAGACCAAGAGACUGAAUGAUCGAAAAGCGGGAGUGGAGAGGCGUUAGAGGAGAUUACAACAGUCCCUCGGGGUACUUGUUACUCAUGCACUGCUGGCAGCGGCGUGGUUCCCACACUUUCACGCCAAGGGAUUUCUAUAACAAGUUUGGUGACUACUCACAUGAGAAAUGACAUAACGCAGAGUCACUCUUCCAAGAAACCAUGGAAAGAAACUGGUUGUCAUGCAGACACAGUGGAACCUCAGCCAGCUUACUUUAUUGUGAACGUUCCGUUUUUCUUUUAUAUUACUUUCAAUUUUGCCAUUUUAUACAGAGCCGUACUUUUGGUCCCUUAAAAAGCAGGAGGUACAUAUGCAAACUGUUGUAAUUGCUACACUGUUGACCUGAUUUGAAUGUAAACACCCUCAAAUUAAAACAUCCAUCCAUCCAUCCAUCCAUUUUCUGAGCCGCUUCUCCUCACUAGGGUCGUGGGCGUGCUGGAGCCUAUCCCAGCUGUCAUCGGGCAGGAGGCGGGGUACACCCUGAGCUGGUUGCCAGCCAAUCGCAGGGCACAUAGGAACAAACAACCAUUCGCACUCACAGUCAUGCCUACGGGCAAUUUAGAGUCUCCAAUUCAUGCAUGUUUUUUGGGAUGUGGGAGGAAACCGGAGUACCCGGAGA